rnacentral:misc_RNA from 1 species
AACAUCGCGCACCUGCGGGAACCUGCGGAGGGAUCAUUACAGAGUUGCAAAACUCCCUAAGCCAUUGUGAACGUUACCUAAACCGUUGCUUCGGCGGGCGGCCCGGGUCCUUCCCGGCGCCCCUCGGCCCUCGCGGGCGCCCGCCGGAGGUAAACCAAACUAUUGCAUUGUAUGGCCUCUCUGAGUCUUCUGUACUGAAUAAGUCAAAACUUUUAACAAUGGAUCUCAGAUCGGAAGAGC